ACUCCUACCAAGUCACAUGGCUUCCAUUCUAUGGCUCAAUCUCAGACAGAAUGUUUACACUAUUCAGUUCUGUGGGAUAUGUCAAGUCCUUUCCAUCUGGGCAACUUACUUCUUGCAGCUCCUCAGUACAACAAGUGACAUCAACAUACAGAACCAAGUCCAGAAAAGGGCUGAUGAUUCAGGGACUGAAGCAUCUCUUCGAUGAGGAAAGGCUGUAAGAGGUGGUACUAUGCAACCUGGAGAAGAAGAGAGAAAACUCAUCAAUGUGUAUACAUAUCUACAGGGAGAAGGCAAAGAGGCUGAAACUAGCCUCUUCCACGGUGCCCAGUAUCAGGACAAGAGGCAAAAUGGGCAUAAACAGAAACAUAGGAGCCUCCAUCUCAAAAUCAGGUCCUACAGACAGCUUUAGAAAGAGGUGCUGAUAAACUCCAAGGCCUUGUCCAUUACAGAAAUUGAAAAGCUCACAAUGCAUUUAGACAAAGAAAGAAACACUA